rnacentral:rRNA from 1 species
GAACGCUGGCGGAAUGCUUUACACAUGCAAGUCGAACGGUAGAGGGGGCAACCCCUUGAGAGUGGCGAACGGGUGAGUAAUGUAUCGGAACGUGCCCAGUCGUGGGGGAUAACGUAGUGAAAAUUACGCUAAUACCGCAUACGAUCUAUGGAUGAAAGCGGGGGAUCGCAAGACCUCGCGCGAUUGGAGCGGCCGAUAUCAGAUUAGGUAGUUGGUGGGGUAAAGGCUCACCAAGCCAACGAUCUGUAGCUGGUCUGAGAGGACGACCAGCCACACUGGAACUGAGACACGGUCCAGACUCCUACGGGAGGCAGCAGUGGGGAAUUUUGGACAAUGGACGCAAGUCUGAUCCAGCCAUUCCGCGUGCAGGACGAAGGC